GAAAUGAAAAUUAUAUUUAAAGUAUAAUUUUAUUUUUAUUUUAGAAAAGGGACGGUACCCGAUUAUCAUUCCUCAAAGACGAUCAAAAGAACGUACAAUGUGCCUACCAGAGAUAAAUACUCCACAAACGGAGAUGUAUGGGCCACGGAUCUCCGCCUAACGGCAGCAACCUCGGUCCUUGCUCACCAGCAUACGAACAACGGUAAAUAACAAAGUCACCAGAACAAAAUAAGCAAGAAGUGCUGAAACACGACUAAAAACUAGCCAUGGACAUUUAGGUCCUUAUUGGAAACACCACUAGGCUAGUCUCAUGGCCUUGGGACCAGUGGGAGAUCGACUAGGGUAGCAAAUCCUUUUCCUGGACUGGCCUUUUUUUAAAGCCUUCCUGUCGCCAUUUACCUCUGUCUCCAUUGGGUCCAAAGAUGACUCUACACAUCGACGACGUUUGAGGUCUCAAUCCUGUUCCUCGCUUGCAAUACCUGGAGCACCAUGCACGAUGAUUGUAUACUGCGGAGGAGGGGGUAUUUGCUGGUGUAGAGCUCCUAGUUGAGUGAUUCGACUUCGAUUUCGGUUUAGGCUUGUUGCAGUUUUUCAGGCUCCAUUGUUAAGCCUUCUGAGCUUGAGCUUCCUUCCACGUUAGUUCCUUAAUAGAAUUUUCCUAGUGAAAAGGGAAGUUGAUCUCCGGGUAUUGAAAUGGAAGUGCACAUUUCUUUUCAACGUGUCCCAUCAAUCCACAGACAAAGCAGAAAACAGGUAAGCAUUCAUACUUAUACUGAUAAGUAAUAGUCUUACUGUCGUGCAUAUUAACGUCUCGUUCCUUCAAAAGAGGUCCUCCAACAUCUAGAGCGACCCGAAGCCUCAUGAAAACAUUAGGAAGAACUUUCGGUUAUUUUCAUUGUAGCCUUUGUAGAUGCCAGUCGAGCUCGCCAAUUCUUGUCUGACUGAAUCUGCAAAGUAUUCGAAUGGCACGUUGUGGACUUGCAACCAUAACUCCACGGUAACCUGCUGUGGUUCGUCCCCCCCCACUCAUCUCAUGGAGCAUCAGGUUGUGGUUGUCAGCGAAUUAGGGACCGAAAUCCAUCACAUGACAAACGUCUAGUGGGUGUGCGAAGCAAAAUACGAAGCGCCUAUCUUCCAGAGUCAUGAUCUCGACACCGGAUUCCGGCAGCCACGUGUUGACCAGGCUCCGCCGUACUGGGGAUACAUUGAUAUGUUUUUUUCGAAGAAAAGACCAAACAAUGCAGUGUUUGUAUGCCCAUGACGCUGGUUUCGGCACCACCGUGGCGAGGGAUAGCGCAGCAACCGAUGGGAUUAGGAUCUCUGGACCUGUCUUCGUAUCCGUCGGGUCCCUUGUCGAUUGUCUCUCAGGCUCAGUCGACGUUGGAGAUGUCCCAUACGAAAGUGGAGAUGGUAGUCGCUGUACUGGAGGCUGCGACUCGAAUCCCGAAGGCCCUGACGAUAACCUGCCGAGAGUGGUGGUGCAACAGAGACCAGCGGU
rnacentral:lncRNA from 1 species